rnacentral:rRNA from 1 species
UGGCGAACGGGUGAGUAACACGUGGGGCAACCUGCCCAAAANAGGGGGAUAACACUUGGAAACAGGUGCUAAUACCGCAUAACCAUAGUUACCGCAUGGUAACUAUGUAAAAGGUGGCUAUACUACCGCUUUUGGAUGGGCCCGCGGCGCAUUAGCUAGUUGGUAGGGUAAAGGCUUACCAAGGCAAUGAUGCGUAGCCGAAUUGAGAGGUUGAUCGGCCACAUUGGGACUGAGACACGGCCCAAACUCCUACGGAAGGCAGCAG